rnacentral:rRNA from 1 species
GCCCGCACAAGCGGCGGAGCAUGCGGGAUUAAUUCGAUGCAACGCGAAGAACCUUACCAAGGCUUGACAUAUACGAGAACGGGCCAGAAAUGGUCAACUCUUUGGACACUCGUAUACAGCUGGUGCAUGGUUGUCGUCAGCUCGUGUCGUGAGAUGUUGGGUUAAGUCCCGCAACGAGCGCAACCCUCGUUCUAUGUUGCCAGCACGUAAUGGUGGGAACUCAUAGGAGACUGCCGGGGUCAACUCGGAGGAAGGUGGGGAUGACGUCAAAUCAUCAUGCCCCUUAUGUCUUGGGCUUCACGCAUGCUACAAUGGCCGGUACAAUGGGCUGCAAUACCGUGAGGUGGAGCGAAUCCCAAAAAGCCGGUCUCAGUUCGGAUUGAGGUCUGCAACUCGACCUCAUGAAGUCGGAGUCGCUAGUAAUCGCAGAUCAGCAACGGCAUAGACGGUGAAUACGUUCCCGGGCCUUGUACACCCGCCCGUCUAUUAUCGUCUCU